rnacentral:rRNA from 1 species
GGACUACUGGGGUAUCUAAUCCUGUUCGCUCCCCACGCUUUCGUCCAUCAGCGUCAGUUAAAUCUUAGUUACCUGCCUUCGCAAUAGGUGUUCUAUGUAAUAUCUAUGCAUUUCACCGCUACACUACAUAUUCCGGCAACUUCAAAUUCACUCAAGACUAACAGUAUCAAUGGCAGUUCGACAGUUAAGCUGCCGGCUUUCACCACUGACUUAUUAGCCCGCCUACGGACCCUUUAAACCCAAUAAAUCCGGAUAACGCUUGCAUCCUCCGUAUUACCGCGGCGGCUGGCAC